UACAGAGGUCUCAAGCGUUGUUCGGAUUCAUUGGGCGUAAAGGGUGCGUAGGCGGCGCGGUAAGUCGGGUGUGAAAUUUCGAGGCUUAACUUCGAAACUGCAUUCGAUACUGCCGUGCUUGAGGACUGGAGAGGAGACUGGAAUUUACGGUGUAGCGGUGAAAUGCGUAGAUAUCGUAAGGAAGACCAGUGGCGAAGGCGGGUCUCUGGGCCUUGCCUGACGCUGAGGCGCGAAAGCUAGGGGAGCGAACAGG
rnacentral:rRNA from 1 species